UUUUUUUUGGUCCUGGUGAUUGGUAUGAUUGUUGAUCAUUUCAGUUUUUGCCCUUUAAAUUGUUCCAUUGAUCUAAAUUUUCCAAAUUGUUACCCCUCCUAAUAUUCAUUACACUAAUGACUUUAAUUUCAUUUCAGAUGUUUUAGAUCUCUUUAGAUCUUUAGAAAAAAAAUGUAUGCCCAUGCUUUAUGCAUCUACUUCAUGUGUCUGUGAUUUACUUACUAUUUGUUCAUUUAUUUAUUACUUCUCGUGCCAAAUUCCUUUUUCCCUUCAAGCCUAGUUCCUUAAUUUUUUGCCAAUUAAACAACCACUUCUUUUUUUUUCUUCCCUAAUUAUUACUUCUGUACAGAAGCAGUUGUGCUGUCAUGUGGAAGAUUUCUCUUUCUCAUGAAGUAAAAACUCGAGUGGUAUGAGAUUGCUCUCAGAUUGACUGAAGUUGCUGUGUUACUGUGUGGGUGGAUGUGAAGUCAUAACAUGUUAGAACACUAAAAACUAAAGCUUUCUGGCAUUAUGGACUUAUACACAAAGUGCAUUCAGGAAAUAUUCACAUCACCCCAGUCUUGAGUAUCUCUUACUUUGUAAAAGAAGUUUUUGAUGCACUGUUACAGGUAAAUAAUUAUAAUGUAAUUGUGAUGAAAGUACUGAUGUUUGAUGUUACCUCUGAGCAUGAUAACAUCUGCUGCUCUCUUUUUUUUUUCCAGGAAAAAUGAAUAAAAUGACUUUGAACUCUGUCUUAUAAAACAUGACAAACUCAAAAAGUUACCUCAUGUUUUGGUUUGUUUCUUUUGAUUUAAUUGGAUCAAACAACCUAUUACUGUGAUACAUUAAAUAGUAGAUAAUUAAACAAAAAUAUGCUCAGGGAACCAAAAAAAAAAACCAAAAAAUGUGGGCUUCCUGUUUGACGGUUACACAUGCAAAUUGAAAAGCUGUUUGAAAUGUUCAUCAUGAGUAAUCUCUAACCACAACCUCAAGAGAGCUACUCAAAUUCACCAGCGCCCUUUUUGGUUUUUUACACAUCUGGAGGAAAUGAAAAUGGCCUUGAAAUUAGUUCUUAAGUCUUUUGACUUGGUAUUCGUCGCUCCAUAUGGGAAAAGAAUUUCAAGCAGAAAUCUUCAGUUUUUUCAAGGAAGCUUAAGAAUUGAAGAAGCUUCAGUUGUUGACUGGAAUUCAAGGAUUAAUUCAAUUCUUUAAUUCAACUCAAGAGACUCUGCUGUGGCAAGAAACUGGUGGCCAGGAUGAUGUUCAAGAAAUGGGGUCCAGGCUUUCAAAAGACCAGCAAUACAAUAAUAAUAAUAAUAAUAAUAAUAAAUGAUGAUGAUGAUGAUUCAGGGAUCGCAGCUAUCUAAGGACAAUCACAGCAAACUCUCUGAAGAGAGCGAAGCCUUGCUCUCCGCUCCAGCUGAACAGGAGAAGUUUCCGGUUCAGUGCUCGGAUGACCAAGCUGGAUUAAGCGGCGUCGUUAUUUAUGAAAAUGACACUUUCUCCAUGUCAAAUCCAUCACAAUGUGAAGAAAACCCUCAGGUGGAAAAAGAGCAUGAUUGAGCAUUAUUAAUAUUAAAACACUCCAGUAAUGCAUUAAGGGAUCAGUUUGAAAUUAAACUGGUGUUAAAUAUA